CCCCCAUCAUAAAUCCCACUUCUCAAAGUGAAGGCGAGGAACGUGCUUUCUUAGACUUCCUUGUAGCUAAGGUAUAGGCGUGUGACCUAGAUUCCACCAAUCAGAUGUAGUAACAUGAGACUUUGAUUUGGAAAGAGCCACUGAGGGAGCAGGCAUCCCAGAGAACAGGGCUAGAGGAGGUACCUGGCUUUUAGAGCAGCAGAAGAGAUGUUUGGGGAUCCAAUUUUCACUAUUGUUGAAGGGGGUGAGGGGAGGCAAGUUGUAGAAUUUGUGCUGAUUGAUAGCCACCAUGUGGCUUUGCUAGAAAAGUACCUCCUGGUGGUCUGGGUAUCAUCCCUGAAUACUGAACCUUCGUAACCUUCUGGAUUCUGUGAGCUUCUUAAUAUUUUUAAUAAAUUCCUUUUCUGUUAGAGUGGAUCCUGUUGUUUGCAGCUAAGAACUCUGAUAAAAAUGAAUGGAUGAUGAGUAGUGAAAGAACGCUACUUGUAUAAGAAUAAUUUUUAAAAGCUACCAGAAACUCAGACCUCGAAAAGCUCAAAGUCCAGUAGCAGAUCAGCACGGGGAAGGAUUGCAACAAUUUCCGAAGGGAAAAAGAAGUCCUCGUGUUGUAGCAGGUUGGAAGCCACUGAGCUGGGCUGUCCAGGCAGCGUGUCAUUUCCCGUUUAGCCAAGUGGGAGUCAUGAGACCUGAGGUCAGGUUCCAGCCCUCCCCUGCCUGCUUGGGUGAUCCUGGGGGCAGCCCCGUGUGACUUGGGGAGCUUUGGUUUCCUCAUCCUGGAGCAGAGAUCAUGGAAAUUAUUUGGCAGGAUUGUCAAGAAGAUUAAAUUAGAUAACGAAAGGGCUUUGAAAGCUGACGUGUUGCACAAACGUAAGGAUCAUUGUUGUCAUCGUCUCACACAUAUUGUCAGCUUCUUAAGGCAGGGACAGUGUCUUCUGUUUUUGUCUUCAGUUCCCGCAGUGCCGCCCACCACCCCGUGAGCCGCACUCAACACAGGGCUGUGGAGAUGACCUCGCAGAAGCGCUACAAAGUGACUAGCACGACGGCUCAGCCCCUAGACGUUGCUUCAUACGCCGUAGCUAUUUCCUGCGUGUGUGCUGCUGUACAGACAGGCGGCACCGUGCAGAGGUUCAGAGCAUGGACUGGUUCGAAUCCUCUCUCUGUCGUGAGCUAGGUGUGCGCACGUUAGCACUAACCUGCCCUGGUGCCCUCGUCUGUCACACGGCUGAUGAGAAUAGUAGCUAGUUAAUGGGGCGGCUGUGAGAGCUGAAGGAGUUUAGUCUGUGCCACAGAGCCAGGCACAAAUCAAGCCCUCGGUAGGCAUCAGUUGUUGUGACUAUUUUACCGUUAUGUCCUGAGCGAUGCCUCUAGGGGCAGUCUGAGACGAUCAUGAGACUGAGAAGUAAGAAAUCUAGCUCCUGGAUUUUGUUCAGAGUCAGAAAGGCCUUCAAAGACAGUCAGGCCAGGCUCCUGGGGUCAGCACAGAUGACGUCACCAUGAACCCACUGAGCAUCGUUCCCCCAGGUGUGGGCUGGAUCCCUAGGCCAGACAUCGUUGGGCAAAAAGUGUGUGAAUUGAAUGUUUGGACAAAUAUCACAACUGCCCAA